AAUUAAUACGACUCACUAUAGGGGAAUUGUGAGCGGAUAACAAUUCCCCUCUAGAAAUAAUUUUGUUUAACUUUAAGAAGGAGAUAUACAUAUGCACCAUCAUCAUCACCAUCAUCAUCAUCAUGGUGAUUACAAGGAUGACGACGAUAAGGAAAACCUCUAUUUUCAGGGUAGUGCGCAAAUCGAUCAGAAAGCUCACGUACCGCACUUUUCUAAGCUACAACCUUUUGUAGCCGUAAGUGUAUCGCCAAACUCUUCCGUCGAUUUUUCUGAAGCUUCAGAAGAAAGCUCUCAAUCUCCAGUAUCUGAAGGCCAUGCAAGUCUCGAUUCCGUUGCUUUGUUUAACUCUCAGCGCUGGACGUCUUACUUACGGGAAGGGCUUGAUGACGAGCACGUAGAUUUUGUCGGCGAUCUCACUACUCCGUUUUACGCUGAUGCGGGUUACGCAUACAGCUUGAUGGACAUUAACUGGCGUCACAACCAGUCCACAUUUUAUCAUUUCACAAGCGAUCAUCGCAUUUCUGGUUGGAAAGAGACCAAUGCCAUGUACGUCGCACUCAAUAGUCAGUUUUCUGCAUUAGAAGUUUUGUUUCAAGGUCCAUACCCAUACGAUGUUCCAGAUUACGCUUAAUAACUACUCGAGCACCACCACCACCACCACUGAGAUCCGGCUGCUAACAAAGCCCGAAAGG
rnacentral:misc_RNA from 2 species